UGGGGAAUUUUGGACAAUGGGCGAAAGCCUGAUCCAGCCAUGCCGCGUGAGUGAAGAAGGCCUUCGGGUUGUAAAGCUCUUUUAGUCGGAAAGAAAGAGUUGCAAUGAAUAAUUGUGAUUUAUGACGGUACCGACAGAAAAAGCACCGGCUAACUACGUGCCAGCAGCCGCGGUAAUACGUAGGGUGCGAGCGUUAAUCGGAAUUACUGGGCGUAAAGGGUGCGCAGGCGGUCUUGCAAGUCAGAUGUGAAAGCCCCGGGCUUAACCUGGGAAUUGCAUUUGAAACUACAAGGCUAGAGUGCAGCAGAGGGGAGUGGAAUUCCAUGUGUAGCAGUGAAAUGCGUAGAGAUGUGGAAGAACACCGAUGGCGAAGGCAGCUCCCUGGGUUGACACUGACGCUCAUGCACGAAAGCGUGGGGAGCAAACA
rnacentral:rRNA from 1 species